AAGACUGUACUUUCAGGAGUCACUUCUAGAGUUCAUUAUUAGAGAAGUUUCUCUGAUCAUGUAGACCACCUAAAACCAUUAAGAAGAGCCCUGAACAUCCUCUCCUGAGCACGAAGCCAGUCCUAGGUGUUGCUUUUGCAACUGCCUUUUACCACUAAUGAUCAUGCUAGUCUUCCCUUGGAAGAAGGAGAGGGAGAGGAUGCAGUCUGUGUGGU